CAAGAAGCCCGAAAGGCUGACUUUACAACCAUAGCGAACCUAUCCUUCACGUUUGCUUCGGCCGGGCGGGCUCCCCCCUCGGGGGACCGCAGGCCCCGCCUCUCAGGCGGUCAAGGGCCGCCGCCCGCCGGAGGUACGAAACUCUUUAUAUAGUGGCUAUAUCUCUGAGUAUAACAAGCAAAUAAGUCAA
rnacentral:misc_RNA from 1 species